rnacentral:rRNA from 1 species
AUUGAACGCUGGCGGCAUGCUUUACACAUGCAAGUCGAACGGUAACAGGGAGAAGCUUGCUUUUCUGCUGACGAGUGGCGAACGGGUGAGUAAUACAUCGGAACGUGCCCUGUAGUGGGGGAUAACUACUCGAAAGAGUGGCUAAUACCGCAUACAACCUGAGGGUAAAAGUGGGGGACCGCAAGGCCUCACGCUAUAGGAGCGGCCGAUGGAAGAUUAGGUAGUUGGUAGGGUAAAGGCCUACCAAGCCGACGAUCUUUAGCGGGUCUGAGAGGACGAUCCGCCACACUGGGACUGAGACACGGCCCAGACUCCUACGGGAGGCAGCAGUGGGGAAUUUUGGACAAUGGGGGCAACCCUGAUCCAGCAAUGCCGCGUGAGUGAAGAAGGCCUUCGGGUUGCAAAGCUCUUUUGUUUGGGAAGAAAUCCCUAAGGAUA